AGUCGAGGGGCAGCGGGGAAAGCUUGCUUUUCCGCCGGCGACCGGCGCCCGGGUGCGCACCGCGUAUGGAACCUGCCUUGUACAGGGGAAUAGCCCAGGGAAACUUGGAUUAAUGCCCCGUAGUACCGUAUUUCGGCAUCCUUAUACGGUUAAAGCCUUCGGGCGGUACAAGAUGGCCAUGCGUCCCAUUAGCUAGAUGGUAAGGUAACGGCUUACCAUGGCUACGAUGGGUAGGGGCCCUGAGAGGGGGAUCCCCCACACUGGUACUGAGACACGGACCAGACUCCUACGGGAGGCAGCAGUGAGGAAUAUUGGACAAUGGAGGAGACUCUGAUCCAGCCAUGCCGCGUGCAGGAAGAAUGCCCUAUGGGUAGUAAACUGCUUUUAUACGGGAAGAAAAAGAGCUACGUGUAGCUUACUGACGGUACCGUAAGAAUAAGGACCGGCUAACUCCGUGCCAGCAGCCGCGGUAAUACGGAGGGUCCGAGCGUUAUCCGGAAUUAUUGGGUUUAAAGGGUCCGUAGGCGGGCCGAUAAGUCAGGGGUGAAAGUUUGCCGCUCAACGGUAGAACUGCCUUUGAUACUGUCGGUCUUGAGUUAUAGUGAAGUUGCCGGAAUAUGUAGUGUAGCGGUGAAAUGCAUAGAUAUUACAUAGAACACCGAUUGCCAAGGCAGGUGACUAACUAUAUACCUGACGCUGAUGGACCAAAGCGUGGGGAGCGAACAGGAUUAGAUACCCUGGUAGUCCACGCCCUAAACGAUGGAUACCUAGCUGUCCGGAACCUUGAGUUCUGGGCGGCCAAGCGAAAGUGAUAAUUAUC
rnacentral:rRNA from 1 species